CACAACAGGAUGUCUGUAGUCAAUAACUUAAUUGUAUAUUUUAAAGUCAAUAAUCUAUAAUGUUCAGGACUGUUCAAAUGCUUAGUAAAGUACUGAGAAGGUCCUCAUUUUAUUUUGCCCUAAUUUUGAUAUUCUGUGCAAAGAAAUGAAGCCUAAGACAAAGUUGUCAACUGCCUGGAUGAGUGUUAAAAAUGUGUUUGAAUGCACACACACACUCAGGCACAGACACUCUCAGAAAACUCUGGGAGACUUAUUUGUUGAAGGCAUUUAAGAAAGUUCGUGUUCAGUCAUUAGGCGAGAUAACCAAGUAGAGAUUUUAGUGGCCACACAUGACAAAGAAUACAGACUUUUAAAAAAUUAUUUCAGAAAUGUUGUUAUAUAACAACAAUAAUAACUAAUAUCAACAACAAUAAACCAUGAGGAGCAGGGAGAAUCUGUGUUCCAGAGUUGCCAUAUUAUUUUAAAUAUUCUUGUUUCAACAAAAAUUAUGAAACAUGAAAAGUAACAAAACAACAAAGUUCUAUGCACAAGAAAAGAGAAAAACAGUCAAUGAAAACAUUUUAUUUUGGAGUCAGGGGUAAAUUUGGAUUGUGUUUCUGGACAUCAACUUGAUAUGACUUCAUCGCAGUGUAAUGAACUAAACUGAAACUGGACCCCUUCCUUACACCUUAUACAAAUUAACUCAAGAUUGAUUAAAGACUUCAAUGUAAAACCCAAAACUAUAAAAACCCUAGAAGAAAAUCUAGGCAAUACCAUUCAGGACAUAGGCACAGGCAAAGAUUUCAUGAUGAAAAUGCCUAAAGCAAUUGCAACAAAAGCCAAAAUUGACAAAUGGGAUCUAACUAAAGAGCUUCUGCACAGCAAAAGAAACCAUCAUCAGAGUGAACAGAUAAUCUACAGAAUGGGAGAAAUUUUUUGCAAUCUAUCCAUCUGACAAAGGUCUAAUAUCCAUUCUGCAAGGAACU
rnacentral:lncRNA from 1 species